rnacentral:lncRNA from 1 species
AUUUUUAUAAAUUUGUGUAUCUCAGUCUUAUGUGCUUUACUUUUUGAGAAAAAAUACUACAAUCAUCAAACACUAGAAUUUAAUGUAAUUCUUAAAUGUUUGAGACUAUUGACUAUGUAGCUUUUAUCCAUAUUAUUUUUCAUUUAGCAAGGAAAUUAGACUAUGAUAAAAUAUAGUAAUACAGUUAAGGGAAGUAUAAAUGUAAAAAAUAAUUUUCAACUUUUAAAAAAAAUUGUAUAAAGGUAUAAAAAUAAUGAAA